CAGUCGAGCGGUAACAUUUCAAAAGCUUGCUUUUGAAGAUGACGAGCGGCGGACGGGUGAGUAAUGCCUGGGAAUAUGCCUUGAUGUGGGGGAUAACCAUUGGAAACGAUGGCUAAUACCGCAUAAUGCCUACGGGCCAAAGAGGGGGAUCUUCGGACCUCUCGCGUCAAGAUUAGCCCAGGUGGGAUUAGCUAGUUGGUGAGGUAAUGGCUCACCAAGGCGACGAUCCCUAGCUGGUCUGAGAGGAUGAUCAGCCACACUGGAACUGAGACACGGUCCAGACUCCUACGGGAGGCAGCAGUGGGGAAUAUUGCACAAUGGGCGCAAGCCUGAUGCAGCCAUGCCGCGUGUGUGAAGAAGGCCUUCGGGUUGUAAAGCACUUUCAGUCGUGAGGAAGGUAGUUGCGUUAAUAGCGUAAUUAUUUGACGUUAGCGACAGAAGAAGCACCGGCUAACUCCGUGCCAGCAGCCGCGGUAAUACGGAGGGUGCGAGCGUUAAUCGGAAUUACUGGGCGUAAAGCGCAUGCAGGUGGUUUGUUAAGUCAGAUGUGAAAGCCCGGGGCUCAACCUCGGAAUUGCAUUUGAAACUGGCAGACUAGAGUACUGUAGAGGGGGGUAGAAUUUCAGGUGUAGCGGUGAAAUGCGUAGAGAUCUGAAGGAAUACCGGUGGCGAAGGCGGCCCCCUGGACAGAUACUGACACUCAGAUGCGAAAGCGUGGGGAGCAAACAGGAUUAGAUACCCUGGUAGUCCACGCCGUAAACGAUGUCUACUUGGAGGUUGUGGCCUUGAGCCGUGGCUUUCGGAGCUAACGCGUUAAGUAGACCGCCUGGGGAGUACGGUCGCAAGAUUAAAACUCAAAUGAAUUGACGGGGGCCCGCACAAGCGGUGGAGCAUGUGGUUUAAUUCGAUGCAACGCGAAGACCUUACCUACUCUUGACUCCAGAGAAGCAGCGGAGACGCAGUGUGGCUUCGGGAC
rnacentral:rRNA from 1 species